AGCAGUACCCAGGGCUGGCUUUAGGAAAUGAGGGGCCCGAUUCGAAUCAUUUCAAUGGGGCCCCAGCAGGGACGACUCACCUGACGGUGCUCUAUGUCUUCACUCCGGGUCUUCCAUGGCACUUGAGGACCCGCCACCAAAACGCUGCCGGAGCGAGUGAAGGACCUGCCGCCGAAGUGCCACCCAAGACCCAGAGCACCGCUGGAAUGCGAGUGCUGCACAAAUGUCCAAGAUGCGAAGAGAUGCUUCCCUGCUGACAGCAUGUGGCUUCAGGAAGAAUACAGGUGUAUGUCUUCCAGAGCUGCUGUUACUUCAUUCCCUGAACUAGCUUUCUUCAUCCAGACCUCCGUACCACCUCUGCAGUCCCACCCAAUUGCCCCAUUACCACUGAACACUCCGAAGAAGAAUUCAAGAGCCAGAAGGGUGACUAAAGACAGUCUUGAGAUAAAAGCUAAAGCCUCUUCCCCACUUCUGGUUCUGCCCCCCUCAGAAAAAAAUCAUAAUAUAUUUAUCUUAGGUAUUUAAAUAGCCUCAACUACAUGAACACCUGAGCACAUCACACAAUCUUACAUGCAUUUAUCCUCAUAAAACCCCUGUGAGAUCGUACAUAUCCUAUUAUCCCCAUCCUACAGAUGGGGAACUGAGGCACCAAGAGGGUAUGUCUACAGUUUGAGUUGGGGGUGUGAUUCCCAACUUAAAAAGAGACAUACUCUCGUGCAUGCUCUCAUUGAGCUAGCACACCAAAAAUAAAAUGUUGCCAUGGCAGCGCAAGCAGUGGGAGGGGCUAGCCACCCCGAGUAUGCACGUAGCAUCUCCAAUGGGCACGUAAUCAGGGUGGCUAGCCCCUCCUACCGCUUGCACUGUUGCGGCUACUGUCUAUUUUUAGCUGGCAUGAAAGCUAGUGCCCAUGUCUCCUGGAGCUGGGAAUCACCCCCAGCUCAAAAGCACAGACAUGCCAAGAGACUAAGGCAAGAUUUUUAAAGGUAUUAAGGCACCUACACCUAAAUAGCUUUAAAAACUUGGCCCUAAGUGACUUGCCCAAUAUCACAUAAGAAGUCCGGCAGAGGGGGGAUCUGGAUCUGGGUCUCUAGAAUCUCCGACUAGCACUCUAACCACUGGACCAUCCUUCCUUACAAUCCAUACACUUUGACAACGUUUUACUUCUGCAUAUUUAAAUUAUUUGGUUUCUGUAGCAUGAAAACGUGUAUGAUCUGUUAGCUCCUGUACUUCUGUGAAAAGGCUGAUAGCAACCUAGUGUGACUGUUAACAGGUGGUAGGCUUGCUUUUCAUCACAAAUCUUGCUAGAGAAGAAUAGCCGAGUAUGUGAGCUUUCCUAAAGUAAUUCUUAGAGGGGACUGUUUGCUAAAGCUCAGAUUUCUAGGGUACAAUUUAUGAUAGUUACACACAAAUUUCCAUAAGCAAAAUAUUUAGCAAUACUUUCUUAUUGAUGAAAAUGGAAACAAAGAUUAUUCUUGGACAUAAGAGUUACUUCCAAGACUCUUUGGCAACAAAUGGGGACAAAUAUGCAUCAUACACACCAAAAUCUCUAUAAAGUUGUUUGGCAGUUAAAGGAGAAUACUCAUUUUUCAGAUGGCUCCUUCUGCUGAAGCUCUCCAUGCAAUAAAAUAAAUAUGGAUAUCUAUUAUGUAGCCAUACUUGCACAUAUUAAAUUUAACAUUGAAUGUAAACACACACACACACGAGACACAAACAUUUUAAUUUGCUUGACUACAAACCUGCCUGAAGGGAUAGUAAGAAUCCUAUUAUAUAAUUGAUGUUGCACUCUACACGUAUAAGCAUAUUUCCAUAGACAUAUAAGCAUAACCUAACUGGAAUAUGCUUUAUGUUAGAUAUGCCAUGUGACAUAUCUUUGCAAAGAUUAUGAUCUACUGAAUAUAUUCCUCCCAUUUGUAUGCAUGCAUCAUUUUUAUAUCUGAAGUUAUGGGCGUUGGCUCUAUGCUUGUAUUUGAAGAGUGAUUUUCCACACCCCUGAGUGACACAGUUAUACCAAUGUAAAAUUGCUAGUGUAGAUUACGCCUGAGAGUCUAAUUUUAGGCACCUCCUUUGGAAAACACUGGCCUUAAUGAUUAUCUCUAAAUUUUCAGCUUCCUCUUAGAAUCUUGAAAUAUUAAGCACUUAUUUCAAAAUUCUUGUUUACUGUAGUCAUGGUACCCUUUCACCAGUGUCCACCUGAUUUCUUAGCAAAUAAGUCAAAUUCAUAUGUCUACAUCUGCAAUACUAAAAGCAGAUAGACCAUGUUGCAGAUCAAUGGAAGCAUGAGAAUGAAAUGCAUAAAGAUUUUGGAUCCUGGACUACUUUGGCAUUGUAAAUUAUCUUCCCAUAAAUUACUAGAUGUAAAAGCAGCAGGUCUAUGAAAGCUUCCCCACUUCCUUGCCGUCCCAACAAUAUUUUCUAGUGUUGAUAGCUGCUAAUACGAAGCCUUUUUCUCUGCAGUACUACCCAGAGACACCUGGUGAAAACACACCGUUGAAUGCAGGAGCAUGUCACAAUAUCAAAACAGUGACAAGCGUAGACUGCAGAAGAAGCUGGCAUCGGGAUACAGAGAUUUAAUUUAAAAGGUAUGUCUCACAAAAGGGCUCCAAGGGUGAGGUACUAAUGUGUUUUGGAGAAGAGGGUGAUAAGUCUAGGAUGGGAAGGAAGAUUCAGUCUUCAAACUGAGUCCAACACUAGUUAUUUACAUACCCAAGGAUAAUGCAAUAACUGGAAUGAUUUUAAGAAAUAACAUUCAAUGAAAAUGUCCUGCAGACAGCAGGUUGACGUCACUCAUAUUUAGUACAUAAGUCAGACAUUUUGUGGGAAGCCUCCAGAUCUCACAAGAAACAGCAAAUCUCUAAAAUGGUUUUAGCAUGGUGGCUGAAAUUUUUACCUUGUGACUAGGCAUUUUAUCAUUCCUCUGCUCUGACUCUGAAAUAAAGCACAUUCCCCUUCUUGUCCCAAAAAUGUAGUUUUCUGCUGUUGCUAUUUUAAAUACAGUUUGGCACUGCCAUGUAAUAUCCACAUUACGGAUUGUGGAAAACUACUGUAUUUUCAACAGCUAAAUAUUUAUGUAUACAAGUGAAGCACUAGUUCAAUACAAAGCACAUUCUGAGUAAAACUGAACUCUAAUGCAGAAGAGGACAUAGAUUUUAUAUUUAAUAAUAUGAUUUUUGGUGUGUCUAAUUACAGCCAUGCAUAUUCUGCAGUAAGCUGGAUCGGUCUGGAUUGUGAAUUUUGCCACAGCAGACUGGAAAUUCAGUGGUAGCUUUCCCCAUAAAUAAAUAAAAAUGGAGAUCCUGAAUCCAUAAAUUAUGAAAAUGAGUAAUACCAUCAGUAU